rnacentral:rRNA from 1 species
GGAUUGAACGCUGGCGGCAGGCCUAACACAUGCAAGUCGAGCGGCAGCACGGGUACUUGUACCUGGUGGCGAGCGGCGGACGGGUGAGUAAUGCCUAGGAAUCUGCCUGAUAGUGGGGGAUAACGCUCGGAAACGGACGCUAAUACCGCAUACGUCCUACGGGAGAAAGCAGGGGACCUUCGGGCCUUGCGCUAUCAGAUGAGCCUAGGUCGGAUUAGCUAGUUGGUGGGGUAAUGGCUCACCAAGGCGACGAUCCGUAACUGGUCUGAGAGGAUGAUCAGUCACACUGGAACUGAGACACGGUCCAGACUCCGUACGGGAGCGAGC